UAGUCUGUAUGCCUUUCACUUCCUUUUGUUGUUGUUGUUGUUGUUGCUGUUGUCGUUGUUUUUUGCCUUACUUCAUUGUCUAGACCUUACAGCACUGUGUUGAAUAAGAGUAGUGAGAGUAGACACUUUGCCUUCUUCCCAGGCUUAAGGAGAAACAUUCAGUCUUUCACCAUUAGGUAUGUUAGCUGUAGGGUGUUUUUUGUAGAUGUUCUUUAUCAAGUUGAGAAAGUGAUUCUUUAUUCCUAUUUUUCUGUGAGUUUUUAACAUGAAUGGGCAUUGAAUUUUGUCGAUGCUAUUUCCGCAUCAAUUUAUAUGAUCAUGUGAAUUUUCUUCUUUAGCCUAUUAAUAUGGUGGAUUCCAUUCAUUGAUUUUUCAAAUAUUGAAUCAGCCUGGUAUCCCCAGGUUAUGGCGUACAUUUCCUCCUGUAUUUAGCUGAAUUCUACUUGCUAAUAUUUCAUUAUUGAUUUUUAUGUCUAUAUUCACAGGGACAUUGAUCUAUAGUUUUCUUUUUUGUACUGUCUUUGUCUGGUUUUGAUAUCAUGGUCAUCCUCGUGUCAUACAGUGAAUUGAGAAGUGUUUUCCUGCUUCUUGUAUUUUCUGAUGGAGAAUGUACAGAGAUAGUGUUAAUUCUUCUUUAAACACUUGGUAGAAUUCCAGUGAAACCAUCUGGGUCUGGAGACUUCUUUUUUUGGGCGUUUUCAAAUUACAAAUUCAAUUUCCUUAACAGUUGUAGGCAUAUUCAAAUUUUCUAGUGCAUAUUAAGUGAGUCUUUGCGUUUUUCGAGGAAUUGGUCCAUUUUAUCUAAGUUGUCAAAAAAUGUGUUCUCAACAGCUUUUUAAAAUUCACUCUCCUCCAUUAGUUCCUCUCACAUUGAAAUAAGAUGCUGAUUCCCCCCACGCCUUCCCCACACUCAUUCAGGUCACAGAGCUGAUAAAUGACAAAAAACGGUAUUCUGUAUCUCAACCCAGAGCCCGCAUUCUGGACCCUCAGGCAGAGCCCAGGAUGGGGCAGGCUCCAUGUAAAUUCAGUGUUUCAGGGAACCAGCUGGCCUUGGGCAUCUCUAAAGUGUCCUGCAGCCCAGGGCUGGAGACCCUCUCAGUCACCUAAACCUCCCUGGAGGAAGGGAGGUGGGAGCCCCUUCCUCGAGAUCAGAUUUGGGAAGAAACUCUGGGGAGCCUGGGCACCACGAGGUGGCGCUCCGAACACACAGUUACCUGCAGCGGCCAGUGGUGGCUCUCAGAGGCUUAGUUGGGCAAGCCCGGCCUGGGGGGCAUUUUGUUCUUUCUGGGAGAUGAACUCUAGAGCCUGGAGCCUGCAAGGGCCCCAGGAGCCCUGGGCUGGUGGAGUUUGCCAACCCUUUCUCAGACUUCCCUGUGGACAGAGGCGUGAAGGCUUGAGAGGGUGGUGCUGGGGGGCGGCUGUGAGGUACAGAAGCACCAAAGAGCAGCUGGAGAGACUACGUCCACACUGAGACAAGGCCGGCCACCCAGAGCCUCUGUCUGCUUAGGAAGCGGUGAUAACCCAGAGCUGGGCCCGGUGCAGGGUGCUGAAGAAUCCACCUCGUUCCCUUCUGGGCCUGCCUCAACACCCUCCACCAGCUCCAGCCCCCUGCAGAGUCCCAGCGACCCCUCCCCCUCAUCAAGCAUACUCCAAGGCAAGAGUCCUCUGGAGUCAGCUGGAAGGUCCAAGAACUCCUUGGAUGGGAACCUGCACAUCCCAGGAGAAACUUUGGCAAAGACUGUGUGCACCUGAUUUGGGUCAAAAUGAAACAGCCAAGCUGAACACCGUGCCCUUGGGGAAUGACAAAUGGAAUGUUCUCAGAAGCUGCAUUUGAACAACUGAUUGGGAUCGUGACCGAGGUUAACAGUCCUUUGCAAUUUGAUAAAGGCAUGGGUUUGCCUGAUGCCGCCAUUUUAGUAAGCUUUGUCUGCUCUGCUUAGAAUGUACUAUUAUUAACACAUUUCAUUGAUUCUAAGAUGCAGUGCCCACCCCCUCCACACACGUUUUUAGCAGCUCCAUAAUCGGAAUAUGUCUUAUUGUCUUUGACACAAGGUCGUGACAUGGUUGUCAUUGCCUGACACCUUCUUUCAGAAACCCAGUGCAGCAGCCUUGAGAGAAACGCUUCCUCCUCACGCCAUCGAUUGCCCGGAGCGUUGACUUUGUGUUGAAAACUAUGAACAUUGACAACAUUGAGUUGAAAAAUCACUGAGAAGAUUUGGACUCUGGCAGCAUUUUGCGAAUAACUUAACCACUUGUUUCCGCUUUUUGCCUCUUUAGGCGCGCCCAAGGGUGACAUGUGAUAAAUCCACGCAAGUCACUAAAUAAAUACUUUUGAGGGGCGCCUGGGUGGCUCAGUCGGUUAAGCGUCCGGCUUUGGCUCGGGUCAUGAUCUCACAGUCCGUGAGUUCGAGCCCCGUGUCGGGCUCUGGGCUGACAGCUCGGAGCCUGGAGCCUGUUUCAGAUUCUGUGUCUCCCUCUCUCUCUCUCUGACCCUCCCCUGUUCAUGCUCUGUCUCUCUCUGUCUCAAAAAUAAAUAAACGUUAAAAAAAAAUUUUUUUUAAAUAAAUACUUUUGAGAAGUCGCAAAUAAACAUUUUAAGAGAUCCAAAAGCA